rnacentral:rRNA from 1 species
AACGAACGCUGGCGGCAGGCCUAACACAUGCAAGUCGAACGGAACCUUCGGGUCUAGUGGCGGACGGGUGAGUAACACGUGGGAACGUGCCCUUUGGUUCGGAAUAGCCCCGGGAAACUGGGAGUAAUACCGGAUAAGCCCUACGGGGGAAAGAUUUAUCGCCAAAGGAUCGGCCCGCGUUGGAUUAGGUAGUUGGUGGGGUAAUGGCCUACCAAGCCGACGAUCCAUAGCUGGUUUGAGAGGAUGAUCAGCCACACUGGGACUGAGACACGGCCCAGACUCCUACGGGAGGCAGCAGCGGGGAAUCUUAGACAAUGGGGGAAACCCUGAUCUAGCCAUGCCGCGUGAUCGAUGAAGGCCUUAGGGUUGUAAAGAUCUUUCAGUGGGGAAGAUAAUGACUGUACCCACAGAAGAAGCCCCGGCUAACUCCGUGCCAGCCGCCGCAGUAAAAC